AAAGAUGAACAAUAUUUCUAUACCAAGUACCAAGUGAAACUUUUUGUGUUUACAUCAGGUAUGUAAUCAUUUUCCGUGUUCCUUUGUUAAAAACCGUCCAUCCUUGAUUCUUCUGAUAAUGGUAAAACUAUCCGUUUGUUAAAUUGUUUUAUUGUAUUUUUAUCUAUUGUAAAAAACUAAUUAAAUUUUAAAUUUGCUAUGCAUAAACAAUACUGUAUAUACAUUUUUUAUAAUAAGAUUAGAGAAUUAUAGUACCAUCUUGUAACAAUGAUGUAAUAAGAGACGAAAAAAAAA
rnacentral:sRNA from 1 species